ACUUGUCAGUCGCAGCGUCUGUGUGAGAGGGAGAGGACACCGUGUCGUUGCUUUUACAAGUCCACGGAGACAGAAAGAGAAGAAGGGAGGGAGAGACACUUUCCAGCAUGAUCCUUUUAUAUAUUGUCCCCUUUCGUCGGAAAGGGAGCAAUCCGACGGAAUCACUGGGAAAUCCGCGGCUGGUUUUGAAAUCAUUGGAGGAUAUUGGCUGUGGAGGAGUGGAGUUAGCCUGAUGAUGUGCAAGAAAAUAUCAGCCCUGAAGUUUGCAUUAAGUCAGGAAGAAGACAAACUUCCAGCAGACAGGAUGACGAGCUCCCAUCAGCCUGCAGAUGGAAACAAGGGUGGGUGGUUGGAAGGCUGGAUAAAGGCUGGUGGAUGACUGAACUCGGAGACCUGGCGCAGCUCAUCAUCAUUGCCACGGGCUCUCGUCUUCCUCCUUCUCCUCCUGUGGCUCCUACCUCCAUCCAGGGGUCCAGCAGAGCCGGCGAAGCCCGGGCGGGGAGCUAGUGAGUGGGCCGGCAAAGAUGGAAAAGGCCCCCAAAGGCUAGAAUCACCUCUGGAGCUACCGGCAUGCAGGAGAAAUCAAUAUGAAACACAGAAGCUCCGCAGCUCUGAGUGGGGUUUCCUAUGUUUUAAGUGUGAGGCCUCGGGGCCCGCAGACCUCCAAAGGACAGGCCCUGCGUGGCUCUCUCAGCUGCAUCCCCGGAUCCUCAGACUGGACCUCCGUCCUGAUCUCCACCGGCUGUGUGUGUGGUUCUGCUGAAGGGGAUUUCUCCCCAAAUAAUACCCAGAGUGUUGAAAGACUGCCAAGAGGGAUCUUCUUUUCUCUUGAUUU